rnacentral:tRNA from 1 species
ACCCUUGUAGCUCAGCGGAUCGAGAGCGCCUGGCUACGAACCAGGAGGACGGGAGUUCGAUUCUCUCCGAGGGUGCCA